rnacentral:rRNA from 1 species
GUUUGAUUAUGGCUCAGGAUGAACGCUAGCUACAGGCUUAACACAUGCAAGUCGAGGGGCAGCAUUUUAGUUUGCUUGCAAACUAAAGAUGGCGACCGGCGCACGGGUGAGUAACACGUAUCCAACCUGCCGAUAACUCGGGGAUAGCCUUUCGAAAGAAAGAUUAAUAUCCGAUAGUAUAUUAAAACCGCAUGGUUUUACUAUUAAAGAAUUUCGGUUAUCGAUGGGGAUGCGUUCCAUUAGUUUGUUGGCGGGGUAACGGCCCACCAAGACUACGAUGGAUAGGGGUUCUGAGAGGAAGGUCCCCCACAUUGGAACUGAGACACGGUCCAAACUCCUACGGGAGGCAGCAGUGAGGAAUAUUGGUCAAUGGACGAGAGUCUGAACCAGCCAAGUAGCGUGAAGGAUGACUGCCCUAUGGGUUGUAAACUUCUUUUAUAUGGGAAUAAAGUAUUCCACGUGUGGGAUUUUGUAUGUACCAUAUGAAUAAGGAUCGGCUAACUCCGUGCCAGCAGCCGCGGUAAUACGGAGGAUCCGAGCGUUAUCCGGAUUUAUUGGGUUUAAAGGGAGCGUAGGUGGAUUGUUAAGUCAGUUGUGAAAGUUUGCGGCUCAACCGUAAAAUUGCAGUUGAAACUGGCAGUCUUGAGUACAGUAGAGGUGGGCGGAAUUCGUGGUGUAGCGGUGAAAUGCUUAGAUAUCACGAAGAACUCCGAUUGCGAAGGCAGCUCACUAGACUGCAACUGACACUGAUGCUCGAAAGUGUGGGUAUCAAACAGGAUUAGAUACCCUGGUAGUCCACACAGUAAACGAUGAAUACUCGCUGUUUGCGAUAUACAGUAAGCGGCCAAGCGAAAGCAUUAAGUAUUCCACCUGGGGAGUACGCCGGCAACGGUGAAACUCAAAGGAAUUGACGGGGGCCCGCACAAGCGGAGGAACAUGUGGUUUAAUUCGAAGAUACGCGAGGAACCUUACCCGGGCUUAAAUUGCAUUUGAAUAAUCUGGAAACAGGUUAGCCGCAAGGCAAAUGUGAAGGUGCUGCAUGGUUGUCGUCAGCUCGUGCCGUGAGGUGUCGGCUUAAGUGCCAUAACGAGCGCAACCCUUAUCUUUAGUUACUAACAGGUCAUGCUGAGGACUCUAGAGAGACUGCCGUCGCAAGAUGCGAGGAAGGUGGGGAUGACGUCAAAUCAGCACGGCCCUUACGUCCGGGGCUACACACGUGUUACAAUGGGGGGUACAGAAGGCAGCUACCUGGUGACAGGAUGCUAAUCCCAAAAACCUCUCUCAGUUCGGAUCGAAGUCUGCAACCCGACUUCGUGAAGCUGGAUUCGCUAGUAAUCGCGCAUCAGCCAUGGCGCGGUGAAUACGUUCCCGGGCCUUGUACACACCGCCCGUCAACCCAUGAAAGCCGGGGGUACCUGAAGUACGUAACCGCAAGGAGCGUCCUAGGGUAAAACUGGUAAUUGGGGCUAAGUCGUAACAAGGUAACC